rnacentral:misc_RNA from 1 species
UGGUCGGGGCAUGAGCCGGUACACGAGAUGNUAAAUGAAGCCAUCGACCAGAAGACACUAGACGGUAAAUGGGUUGGUUUUCGAUGAUUGUUGUUGGGACACGAGUUGGAACACUAGUCGGUUUUGUUACUUUCGCAUCGUUCGGUGCAUUNUGGGGGCUGUUUUGGCUUUUAGUUGCUUGCUUGGCCUUUUGGUCGGGUGGGUCGUUACUAGUCGGGCGGUUUUCGGGAAUGUCGACCGGGAAGGUGCAUGAGUGGUGUUUGGUUUGUUACGGGUGGUUGGCUGUCUGCUAGCGCAGCAACGUCCACGCGUGCAUACCUUUUCAGUCUUGCGACAAGACUUGGUUUGUCUUGAGCAUUUUGUGGGUUUCAUGUAUUGCAUACCUAAUUGAUGGUAACGUGUGGGUUUUAUGAUGUACCUUUUCGUCAUGCGUUGCUCAUGUGGCGUGGGAUGAACGUUGAAGUGGUCUUUGUGAUCCACCUUGUUGUUGCAUUUGUAACGAUGAUUUGGCUUAUGAAGCAUUGCUUGGUCUCCUGUAUAUGGUACCUGAUGUGGGCAUGGGUCUCUUAUAAGAUCCUAAAUCUGCCCUCGAUAAGCGUUCUCGCUUCUCCAAAACGAUUGCCUCUCAUGUCUUGGCUUGUCCUUGCAUGGUGGGAUCACG